rnacentral:piRNA from 1 species
UGCGACAAAAGCCUACACUGC